rnacentral:rRNA from 1 species
UACGAAGGGGGGCUAGCGUUGCUCGGAAUCACUGGGCGUAAAGCGCACGUAGGUGGCUUUCUAAGUCAGGGGUGAAAUCCUGGAGCUCAACUCCAGAACUGCCUUUGAUACUGGAGAGCUCGAGUCCGGAAGAGGUGAGUGGAACUCCGAGUGUAGAGGUGAAAUUCGUAGAUAUCGGGAGGAACACCUGUGGCGAAGGCGGCCACCUGGACAACAACUGACGCUGAGACGCGAAAGCGUGGGGAGCAAAACAGG